GACAGGAAGGGGACUUUCCCAAGUGAACCUCUGCUGAGCUGGGAGGGGAAGGGCAGCAAAAACACAGGAUUUCCCCAGGCGCAGUGGCUCACUCCUGUAAUCCCAGCGCUUUGGGAGUCAGAGGCAGGCAGAUCACCUGAGGUCAGAAGUUCCAGACCAGCCUGGCCAACAUAGUGAAAUCCUGUCUCUAAUAAAAAAAAAUAUAUAUAUAUAUAUACAAAAAAUUAGCUGGGUGUGGUGGCAGGCACCUGUAACCAGUUACUUGGGAGUCCGAGGCAGGAGAAUUGCUUGAACCCAGGAGGCGGAGGUUGCAGUGAGCCGAGAUCGCACCACUGCACUCUAGCCUGGUCAACAGAGUGAGACUCUGUCUCAAAAAUAAAAUAAAACAAAAUCCAGGGUAUGUAACCAAGGAGAUCCUCUUAAAGUUAGAAAGAGGAAAAUAAGAAAAUUCUACAUAUUUAAUGCAAUACAUAAUCAACUUUCAAAAUCAAUUCCUUUCUUCUCCCUUCAACUGAACCCAUGCUGUGGCAGCCCAGCUGAAGAUAUGAACAGCGACGCCGAAUCCAUGCAGUGAUAGAAGUUGGGGUCCAGCUUCUGUAGGAUUACCUCCAAUGCCAGAGACCACCAGCUCCCAAAGAAGCCCAUUCUGGUGGCUCAAAGCCGCAGCCAACAGGACGCAGGCAUGGGGCUGCAGGGAGGUGCCUAAGCCUGGAAUGGGGAGCCCAGAAGACACCGAACUGAGGCAGGUGGGUGGUGAGGAGCGUGGAACGGGAUACAUGAGGUGGGCGGGAAGCCCCAGGCCAAAAAGAGUGAGACAUGUGGGAGAUCGUCCAGCUUCCAAAGGGACACCAGUGGAGUCCCGAGGUUACGUGUGGCUCUCAGUCACUUGUCUGACAAGUGAUGCUCUUGGCUCUUAGGGACUGGACCGGAACUCACAGACGGAGCUGCUGCAGCCAGGCCUACAUGGCCACCUUUCUGUGCACCCACAAUUGUCCAGAGAAGAGCCAUUGUCACCAAUCCCAGCCAAAGCCCAGCCAUGAGGCAUCAUCCUUUACUAGCUGGUGGGCCGCACUUAGCUUCUCUGAGCCCCAGCUUCCUCCUGGGUGCAAUGAGGCUCAAGAGAACCUCGCUCACAAGCUACUGGCAGGAUCAAAGGGAAGCAUACAUGUGAAACGCUUGAAAUCUGUGGUCCUCGGAGUCCUGCUGCCUCCCCCAAGCAUCUCACCUGGGCCCCAUAGUGGGAUGGGCUUCUGCCACAUCCUCAGGCAAUGCAGAUGAGAAGCGAGGAGCCAGCAGAGACUGACCUGCCAUCCACCAGAGCCGGCCCGACAAGUGUGGACCAGCUAGUAACUGUCACAGGUGAAAUGUAAUUAAUGACAUCAUCUUGGACAACCUGGGCUUGAUUCUGCUUUGGGCGGUAAUUAAAUCACAGGCCUGGAGCCUUAGAAGGAAGGGAGACUGUGAGUGGAGCCUCCACCUGUGCUUGGCUCUGGGUGGGGCCACAGCAAAGCAUCUGCCUUCUGGAUUCACCCCUGUUAUCAAUUUUUAAAACCUGCAGCUGCUGCAGGCUCAAGAGCACAGGAUGCUUUAGACACCCGCUUUCUGCCAUCCGCAGUAUUUUGUGUUAUUUCAGAUCUGACCCUGCAGGAGAGACUGGCGGGAUGGCACAGAAGGAAGAGGCGUGUGCAGGGGGGCGGGCGUGGGAUUGGAGCAGACCUCAAAGGUGCCUCCGGGUGUGAUUUAAAAUGAGUUAGGAAGGUCGCCUCGCCCCAAAUCCACGCCUUCGGGAUCCCUCCCCUCCUCCUCUUCAUACCUAAUCGGGGUGGGACAGCAGUGUGCAGCUAUGUGUUGAUUUUACAGGGCAAAUUGACUAGACACAAGUUUUUAAAGUCGGAAAAACCUAGCUUCAAAUAAGUAGAUUGGACUCUUUAUGACUCAAUAAAAUGUUUCACUGAGUACUAGUCCUAAGAUAUUUUAAAAACUUAUGCAGCCAGGUGGGGUGGUACACACCUGUAAUCCUAGCACUUUGGAGAGCCAAGGUGGGUGGGGAUCCCUUGAGCUCAGGAGUUCGAGACCAGCCUGGGCAACAUGGCAAAAUCUCAUCUGUACAAAAAAUUAGCCAGGUGUGGUGGCAUGUGCCUACAGUCCCAGCUACUUGGGAGGCUGAGGUGGGAGGAUUGCUUGGGCGCAGGAGGUUGAGGUUGCAAUGAGCUGAGACUGUGCCAGUGCACUCAAGCAUGGGUGACAGCAAGACCCUGUCUCAAAAUAAUAAUGAUGAUGCACUGUAACCAACUUUUCCAUUAAACUGACAGAGCUCAUCGUAGUACGUCAGAAGAACUUUCAUGAGUGUCUUUGCCUCACUUCCCUCCCUUGAAAGCCCUAAGACAAAGAUUUGGGGGCAAGCAGUUGAUUUUGGGGGUGAUCCCAGGAUGCACAGUGAAGGUGGGAAGACAGGUACCCUAGAGAGAGGGUCCCGGCUAGAGGGAACUUCGGUUCAUCCCACUCACUACGACUGCAC
ensembl:lncRNA